rnacentral:rRNA from 1 species
GACGAAGGGGGCUAGCGUUGUUCGGAAUUACUGGGCGUAAAGCGUGUGUAGGUGGUUGUCCUAGUCAGGUGUGAAAGCCUUGAGCUCAACUCAAGAAAUGCACUUGAUACUGGGCAGCUAGAGGACCGGAGAGGAUAGUGGAAUUCCCAGUGUAGUGGUGAAAUACGUAGAGAUUGGGAAGAACACCAGUGGCGAAGGCGGCUAUCUGGACGGUUUCUGACACUAAGACACGAAAGCGUGGGGAGCAAACAGG